rnacentral:misc_RNA from 1 species
CCUCAAACAGCCACUUACGAGUUUUCAGAAACUUCUAGAUUUUUCUAGAAUAUUCCAUGGCGGAGGGUAAGAGAUCCACUGGCUCUGUCAGUUGGUUCAGUGCACAGAAAGGUUUCGGCUUCAUUGCUCCGGACGACGGCGGCGAGGAUCUAUUUGUUCACCAGACCUCCAUCCAAUCUGAUGGCUUUAGGACACUGUCCGAGGGCCAGCCCGUCGAGUUCGCCAUCGAUUUUGGAGAGGACGGCCGUACCAAGGCUGUCGAUGUCGUCGGUAUCUUUAGAUCUCGCCGUGCCCCGCGCGGCGCUCGCUACCAGGGUAGUGGGAGAGGAUUCUAUGGCGGGAGGAGGAGAGGAGGUGGUAGUGGUCGAGGCGAUGCUGGUUAUGGGAGAGGUGGCUGGGGUGGCGGGUCAGGCGGUGAUUCUGGAUACAAUCCUGGUGGUGGAUAUGGCGGCGGCGGCGGCGGCGGCAGUGGAGCGUGUUAUAAUUGUGGGAGAUAUGGUCAUUUAGCGAGAGAUUGUUAUCAAA